ensembl:lncRNA
UUUUUCUUUUUUUUUUUUUGAUGGAUUCUCUUUCUCGUUACCCAGACUGGAGUGCAAUAGUGCAUUGUUGGCUCACAGUGACCUCCGCCUCCCAGGUUCAAGUGAUUCUCCUGCCUCAGUCUCCCGAGCAACUGGGAUUACAAGUGUGCACCACCAUACCUUCUAAUUUUUGUAUUUUUAGUAGAGGCGGGGUUUCACCAUGUUGCCCAGGCUGGUCUCAAACCCCUGGCCUCAAAGAGAUCCACCCGUCUCAGCCUCCCAAAGUGCUGGGAUUACAGGCGUGAGCCACUGUGCCUGGCCUGGGUGUCUAUCUAUCUAUCUCUCUUUCUAUCUAUCUAUCUAUCUAUCUAUCUAUCUAUUUUUUUUUUUUUUUUUUUGAGACGGAGUCUUGCUCUGUUGCCCGGUCUGGAGUGCAGUGGUGCGAUCUCAGCUCACUACAGCCUCUGCCUCCCGGGUUCACACCUUCUUCUGCCUCAGCCUCCUGAGUAACUGGGACUACAGGUGCCCACCACCACGCCCGGCUAAUUUUUUUGUAUUUUUGGUAGAGACGGGGUUUCACCGUGUUAGCCAGGAUGGCAGUCUAUAUUUUAAACAGGCUUCUCAGGUAACUCUGAGGCCUGUGCAGUGUGAGUCUCUCCCCUGACUUACAAACAAGAAUUUCUGGGCAAUUGGUUGUCAGGAAUUGUGUCCCAGCCUUGUCUCAGUUAAAUCGAGUUUCUGUUGAUCUGUCAGGGAUUUCCUUUGACUUUAAAAAUUAACGUGUAAUUAAUUAAAAUUCGUAAAAACCUAGUUCUUUCGUAAGCAUUUAAGUUCAAUUUUCAUAUCUUGAACCCGGGAGGUGGAGGUUGCAGUGAGCCAAGAUCAUGCCACUGCACUCCAGCCUGUGCGACAGAGAGAGACUCUGUCUCAAAAAAAAAAGUAUAUAUAUAUGUGUGUGUGUGUGUGCGUGUGUAUACAUACAUAUAUGUAGACACCCCACCUCCACUCCAAACUGAAUCAGGGAUCUGGGGAUGAAGUGAAGCCUGGGAACUGUGGGGUUCUUCUCCCUCUGUAUCAAGGAUGAGGAGACAUUGGUACUUUGAAGGGUUUCAUAUUAAUUUCAUUCAUCACCCUGCUUUCAGUGAGGAACUUAAAAUGCUUUACAUACCAUACCUGAUUCAUGCAAGUAUGCGAAUACAAUUAUCCCUCAGUAUCCAUGGGGGAUUGAUUCCAGCAGGUAACCCAAAAUCUGAGGGGUUUUGCUCAAGUCCCUGAUGUAAAUGUGGUAGUAUUUGCAUAUACCUAUGCACACUUUUUUAUCACCUCCUGUACACUUUACGCCAUCUCUAGAUUACUUAUAAUACCUAAUGCAAUACCUAGACAUCAUUUCAUUCUCAUGGAGUUAACAUAGUAUUUGGUGUGUCAAAUUCAAGUUUUGCUUUUUGGAAAUUUUUGAACGAUUUUUCAAUCUAUGGUUGGUUGAAUUCACAGACGUAGAACCCACAGAUACAAAGGGCCAACUGUAUAUGGUAAUAAUAACUCCAGGCAUAGUGGACUUACAAAUGUCUCCAUGGCAACAAUUCACUCUCUGGUUUCCAUGGUGAGGCUUAUAAGGACCC